CCCUUUUUGUUUCAGUUAAGUUCUAGCAAGAUACAAUUGGAAUAAAAACUAUUUUGGGUUACCACGAACAAGAUUCCUGAGAUUAAAUAGAAAUAUGACUAUGACAAGCCCAAAUUUCUUGAGGUCAGUUUGUCUCCUUGCAAUGUGAUCUUCCAGCAAUCAACUUGGAAUAUGAAAACAGAAAACUUUUUGGGCACUACCCAAAAUUUGUCAUCUUGUGCUAUUAUCCCAAAUGUUUCUGCUGUUUCGCGAAUCAUUAUACCACUAAUUCCAGUGAAAGAUGCUACCUUACACUGAGCAACCAGAAUAACAGCACCAUGUAGAUCAGCA
rnacentral:misc_RNA from 1 species